UACAUGGGAGGUAAUGACGUUGCUAACGUAAAAUGUUAUUUUUGCGACGUCAAACUGUGACUUAUCGGGAAAAGAUGCAUUUUUCGACUGAUUUUUAUCAUUCAAACUGAUUCAAUUUAAAAACGAGUGCAUGGACCCCUAUUUUUUAAAACGGCAUUUUGUUUCAUUUUGCAGGGAGAUUAUGUGGACCAAAUUUUAUAAAACUGUAAAUAG
rnacentral:lncRNA from 1 species